GACGAACGCUGGCGGCGUGCUUAACACAUGCAAGUCGAACGGAAAGGCCCUGCUUUUGUGGGGUGCUCGAGUGGCGAACGGGUGAGUAACACGUGAGUGACCUGCCCUUGACUUCGGGAUAACUCCGGGAAACUGGGGCUAAUACCGGAUAGGAGCACUUCCUGCAUGGUGGGGGUUGGAAAUUUUUGGGGGUGGGGGGAGGCCUCGGGCUUUCCCCUUUUUUUGGGGGGGAUGGCCUACCACAGGGUCUUGGGGGAUCCGGGCCGGGAGGGGGUACCGGCCCAAUUGGGACGGGAUACCGGCCCGAAUCCCUCCGGGAGGAAGCAGUGGGGAAUAUUGCACAAUGGGGGGAGGCCGAAGGCAGCAACGCCGCGUGCGGAUGGACGGCCUUCGGUUUGUAACCCGCUUUCGCCGGGGACGAAGCGUGUGUGACGGUAAUUGGUAAAGAAGCACCGGCUAACUACGUG
rnacentral:rRNA from 1 species